rnacentral:rRNA from 1 species
AGGCGGCCUUCUGGACAGUACUGACGCUGAGAUGCGAAAGCGUGGGGAGCAAACAGGAUUAGAUACCUGGUAGUCACGCUGUAAACGAUGUCGAUUUGGAGUUUGUUGCCUAGAGUGAUGGGCUCCGAAGCUAACGCGAUAAAUCGACCGCUGGGGAGUACGGCCGCAAGGUUAAAACUCAAAUGAAUUGACGGGGGCCCGCACAAGCGGUGGAGCAUGUGGUUUAAUUCGAUGCAACGCGAAGAACCUUACCUGGUCUUGACAUCCAUAGAAUUCUGCAGAGAUGUGGGAGUGCCUUCGGGAACUAUGAGACAGGUGCUGCAUGGCUGUCGUCAGCUCGUGUUGUGAAAUGUUGGGUUAAGUCCCGCAACGAGCGCAACCCUUAUUCUUUGUUGCCAGCGAUUUGGUCGGGAACUCAAAGGAGACUGCCGUUGAUAAAGCGGAGGAAGGUGGGGACGACGUCAAGUCAUCAUGGCCCUUACGACCAGGGCUACACACGUGCUACAAUGGCGUAUACAAAGGGAAGCGAAGGUGCGAGCUGGAGCGGAUCUCAUAAAGUACGUCUAAGUUCGGAUUGGAGUCUGCAACUCGACUCCAUGAAGUCGGAAUCGCUAGUAAUCGUAGAUCAGAAUGCUACGGUGAAUACGUUCCCGGGCCUUGUACACACCGCCCGUCACACCAUGGGAGUGGGUUGCACCAGAAGUAGAUAGCUUAACCGCGAGGGGGGCGUUUACCACGGUGUGAUUCAUGACUGGGGUGAAGUCGUAACAAGGUAACCA